rnacentral:lncRNA from 1 species
CCCAGGGACUGUUGGCCACCAGCCCAUGAGAACAAAGGAAACAGAGUUGAAGGCCAGGGUUCUGAUUGCCCAUGAGUACAACAGAAAUGACUACCAGGAUAAGCUUCAAAGAAGCAGCUCAAUGUUCAUUGAGAUGAAUCAAGGGCUAUAUAGAUUUUGGGGAAGGGGGUAGGAAUUUCAAGGGUAGGGCCCAACACUUGAGAGAUGUUAAACAUCAGUCUUUGAUAGAAUCGUGAAGAAGUUGCUAUUAAUAUGAGGGAAGUACUGCUGCAGCAACAGCAUGGAUGAACUUGCCAGCAAGAGUGAAGACAGCUUCCAGGCUGAAUCUGUAUCUAUCACUCAUCAGAAAAAUCACACCAUUAAAUGGCUGUUUGUUGAACCUGUUUGGAUUCUGGCUGCCUGUGAACCUGGAUGCAUGCCACCUUUUC